UCCGUAGGUGGAUAACUAAGUCAGAGGUGAAAUCCUGCAGCUCAACUGUAGAAUUGCCUUUGAUACUGGUUAUCUUGAGUCAUUAUGAAGUGGUUAGAAUGUGAAGUGUAGCGGUGAAAUGCAUAGAUAUUACACAGAAUACCGAUUGCGAAGGCAGAUCACUAAUAAUGUACUGACACUGAGGGACGAAAGCGUGGGGAGCGAACAGGAUUAGAUACCCUGGUAGUCC
rnacentral:rRNA from 1 species